UUGGUGGAGAGGUUUCCAGAUAAGAAGGAUCUGAAGGACUUCCCAUGGGCGUGAGGGAAAUUGCACACGCCAUCCGGGGAAGAGGACCAGGAAGUCACUUUUUGUUUUUAAAAUAGCAGUGCGGCUCUCAGGGAUGACUCUGUGAGGCUCGGAGGAUCACAGCUGGGGGAGGAUCACAGCUGGGGGAGGCCCCAGUGAGGCUGAGUGUGGGAGCGGAACUGCCAGUCCUGCCUAAAAACUCGAAAUGAGUCUUGCUUGGUUCUUCCUCCGCUGGGCGUGAGGCCCCCUGCCCAGGAGGCUGCGGGACAAAUGGCCCUGUAGUGGAAACUGGGAAAAUUUUAGGCAUCUGAUCAGAGUGGGAGCCAGCAGGGGGACCACAGUGCUGGACAGCCCAACCACCUCAAACUUGAAGACAUGAAAUCCCCAAGGAGAACCACCUUGUGCCUCAUGUUUAUUGUGAUUUAUUCUUCCAAAGCUACACUGAACUGGAAUUCUGAAUCUACUAUUCAUCCUUUGCGUCUUCAUGAACAGGAACUAGCUGGUGAAGAGGCAUUGAGGCAAAAACCAGCCGUUGCCACAAAAAGUCCUGCAGCUGAAGAAUACACUGUUAAUAUUGAGAUCAGUUUUGAAAAUGCAUCCUUCCUGGAUCCUGUCAAAGCCUACUUGAACAGCCUCAGUUUUCCAAUCCAAGGGAAUAACACUGACCAAAUUGCCGACAUUGUGAGCAUAAAUGUAACAACAGUCUGCAGACUUGCUGGAAAUGAAAUCUGGUGCUCCUGUGAGAGAGGCUAUGGGUGGCCUCGGGAAAGGUGUCUUCGCAAUCUCACUUGUCAAGAGCAUGAUGUCUUCCUCCCAGGGCACCAGUGCAGUUGCCUUAAAGAACUCCCUCCCAAAGGACAUUUUUGUGAGCUUCAGGAAGACGUUACCCUGAACAUGAGAGUCAGAUUAAAUGUAGGCUUUCAAGAAGACCUCAUGAAUACUUCCUCUGCCCUCUAUAGGUCCUACAAGACCGACUUGGAAACAGCGUUCCGGAAGGGUUAUGGAAUUUUACCAGGCUUCAAGGGCGUGACUGUGACAGGGUUCAAGUCUGGAAGUGUGAUUGUGACAUAUGAACUCCAGACUACAGCACCAUCACUUGACCUAAUUCAUAAAGCCAAUGAGCGAGUGGUACAGAGCCUCAAUCAGACCUACAGAAUGGACGAAAACUCCUUUCAAGCAUUUAAUGGCAAUGAUAUUAAGUUAUCUGUCACACCAGAAAUCAUCUUUGAAGGGGACACAGUCAGUCUGGUGUGUGAAAAUGACAUUUUGUCCUCCAAUGUGUCUUGGCGCUAUAAAGAACAGGAGUUGGAAAUUCAGAACAGCAGCAGAUUCUCGAUUUACACUGCCAUAUUCAACAUGACCUCAGUAUCCAAGCUCACCAUCCACAACAUCACUCUGGGUGAUGCAGGUGAAUAUGUUUGCAAACUGAUAUUAGACAUUUUUGAAUAUGAGUCCAAGAAGAAAAUAGAUGUUAUGCCUAUCCAAAUUUUGGCAAGUGAAGAAAUGAAGGUGAUGUGCGACAACAAUCCUGUAUCUGUGUCCUGCUGCAGUGACAGUAACAUUGAUUGGAUAAAAACAGAAUGGAAGCAGGAAGGAAACAUAAAUAUUUCAGGAUCUGCUGAGAUACAGAUAGAUUCUAGCUGCAGCAAAUACGUCUUCAGGGUUGACAGAACCCAAUGCCCAAGCGGGUCAUCUGGAACAACCGUUGUCUACACCUGCGAGUUCAUCAGUGGCUACGGAGCCAGAGGCAGUGCAGACACAAAAGUGACAUUCACCUCUGUGGGAGAUAAUUCCAGCCAGAAAAGUGAAGUGCCCGAGGUCCUAAGGCAUGAGAUGGAAAUGAGUACAGUGCAGAGCACCACCAGGAACAGCCUAGAAACGAGUAAAGCCUGGGAGCAGCAAGCCAAUCUAACAAUAACCCCGGACCCAAUUUCUGUUUCUGAGGGACAAAACUUUUCUAUAAAAUGCAUCAGUGAUGUGAGUAACUAUGAUGAGGUUUAUUGGAACACUUCUGCUGGAAUUAAGAUACACCAAAGGUUUUAUACCACGAGGAGGUAUCCCGAUGGAGCAGAAUCAGUACUGACAGUCAAGACCUCUACCAGGGAGUGGAAUGGAACCUAUCACUGCAUAUUUAGAUAUGAGAAUUCAUACAGUAUUGCAACCAAAGACGUCAUUGUUCACCCGCUGCCUCUAGAGCUGAACAUCAUGGUUGAUCCUUUGGAAGCUACUGUUUCAUGCCGUGGUUCCCAUCACAUCAAAUGCUGCAUUGAGGAGGACGGAGACUACAAAGUUACUUUCCAAAUAGGUUCCUUGUCCCUUCCUGCUGCAAAAGAAGUUAAAGAAAAACAAGUGUGCUACAAACACAAUUUCAAUGCAAACUCAGUUUCCUGGUGUUCAAAAACUGUUGAUGUGUUUUGUCACUUUACCAAUGCUGUUAAUAAUUCAGUCUGGAGCCCAUCUAUGAAGCUGAAUCUGGUACCUGGGGAAAACAUCACAUGCCAAGAUCCCGUAUUAGGUGUUGGAGAGCCCGGGAAAGUCACCCAGAAGCUAUGCCAGUUCUCGAACAUUCCCAGAAGACCUGGCAGUCCUGUUGGCGGGAUUAUCACUUACAAAUGUGUAGGCUCCCAGUGGGAGGAGAAGAGAAACGAUUGCAUCUCUGCCCCAAUAAAUAGUCUGCUCCAGCUGGCUAAGGCUUUGGUCAAGAGCCCCUCUCAGGAUGAGAAGCUCCCUACAUACCUGAAGAAUCUUUCUAUUAGCAUAGACAAAGUUGAACAUGAAAUCAGCUCUUCUCCUGGGAGUCUGGGAGCCGUUAUUAACAUCCUUGAUCUGCUCUCAACAGUUCCAACCCAAGUAAAUUCAGAAAUGAUGAUGCAUGUGCUCUCUACGGUUAAUGUCAUCCUCGGCAAGCCCAUCUUGAACACCUGGAAGGUUUUACAACAGCAACGGACCAAUCAGAGUUCACAGCUACUGCAUUCAGUGGAAAGAUUCUCGCAAGCAUUACGGUCGGGAGAUAGCCCUCCUUUGUCUUUCUCCCAAACUAAUGUGCAGAUGAGCAGCAUGGUAAUCAAGUCACCAGCAAACCUAAAAACCUAUCAACAGAAAUUUGUUUUCUCAGAUUCUGACCUCUGGGGCAAUGUGGUCAUUGACAAGAGCCAUCUAGAAAACUUGCAGCCGGAUUCAUCUGUUGUCACCAUGGCUUUCCCAACUCUCCAAGCCAUCCUUGCCAAGGAUUUCCAGGAAAAUAACUUUGCAGAGAGCUUAGUGAUGACAACCACUGUCAGCCACAAUAUAACCAUGCCAUUCAGGAUUUCAAUGACUUUUAAGAACAGCAGCCCUUCGGGUGGGGAAACAAAAUGUGUCUUCUGGAACUUCAGCCUUGCCAACAACACAGGAGGGUGGGACAGCAGUGGAUGCUAUGCUGAAGAAGGUGAUGGGGACAAUGUGACCUGCAUCUGUAACCACCUAACUUCAUUCUCCAUCCUCAUGUCCGCUGACACCCCAGACCCUAGCUCUCUCCUGGGAAUACUACUGGAUAUUAUUUCUUACGUUGGGGUGGGUUUUUCCAUCUUGAGCUUGGCAGCCUGUCUAGUUGUGGAAGCUGUGGUGUGGAAAUCAGUGACCAAGAACAGGACUUCCUAUAUGCGCCACACCUGCAUAGUAAAUAUUGCUGCCUCCCUUCUGAUUGCCAACACCUGGUUCAUCGUGGUCGCUGCCAUCCAGGACAAUCGCUACAUACUAUUCAAGACAGCCUGUGUGGCUGCCACCUUCUUCAUCCACUUCUUCUAUCUCAGCGUCUUCUUCUGGAUGCUGACGCUGGGCCUCAUGCUAUUUUAUCGCCUGGUUUUCAUUCUGCAUGAAACAAGCAGGUCCACUCAGAAAGCCAUUGCCUUCUGUCUUGGCUAUGGCUGCCCGCUUGCCAUCUCGGUCAUCACGCUGGCAGCCACCCAGCCCCGGGAAGUCUACACGAGGAAGAAUGUCUGUUGGCUCAACUGGGAGGACACCAAGGCCCUGCUGGCUUUCGCCAUUCCAGCACUUAUCAUUGUGGUGGUGAACAUAACCAUCACUGUUGUGGUCAUCACCAAGAUCCUGAGGCCUUCUGUUGGAGACAAACCAUGCAAGCAGGAGAAGAGCAGCCUGUUUCAGAUCAGCAAGAGCAUUGGGGUCCUCACGCCACUCUUGGGUCUCACUUGGGGUUUUGGUCUCACCACUGUGUUCCCAGGGACCAACCUUGCAUUCCAUAUCAUAUUUGCCAUCCUCAAUGUCUUCCAGGGAUUAUUCAUUUUACUCUUUGGAUGCCUCUGGGAUCUGAAGCUUCUUUUAAAUGAUGCAGGUACAGGAAGCUUUGCUGAGUAGGUUUUCAUUGUCGAGAUGGUCUUCACAGCACUCAAAGUCAACAUCCCUGGGUUCAUCCACACCUGUGUUUUCUAUGAGUUCUCCAAUAUCAAGAAGAUUUAACAAUUUGUUUGGUAAAACAGCAGCCCCUAAGGUACCCCCAGGCCAUGAUGGAAACCUUGUUAGCGGUGGCAGUUCAGCAAUCUGAUGGAACGUAUAAUGUUUCCACACCAGAAACAACCAGCUCAUCCGUGGAAAACUCAUCCAGUGCUUAUUCUUUGCUCAACUAAAAACAGGAAAAUCCAACCUAUGUGACCUCCAGGGGACAGUGGAUAUGCUUUUAAAAAGAGAUUUUUUGCAAAGCAAUGGGGAACAUGUUCUCUGGGCAGGUUUCCGGGAGCAAAUGCAGAAAAGACUUUUUUUUUAAUAGAGGAGAGGUGUUUUUUGGUAAGACAGACUAAAAGUAAUUGUUAUGUUUAUGUUUGUUCCCUCCCCCUCCCCCUUGUGUGAUACCACAUAUGUAUAGUAUUUAAGUGAAACUCAAGACCCCCAAGGCCCAACUUCUCUGUUUAUAUUGUAAUAUAGAAUUUUAAAGAGACAUUUUCACUUUUUACAUAUUGGGCACAAAGAUAUGCUUUGAUUAAAACAGUAAGUAAAAGGCUAGUACAUAGGAAAUAGUUCAGUGAAUUGUAAGAAGGAAGGAAGGAAGGGAGGGAGAAAGGGACGGAGGGAGGGAGGAAAAGAAGAAGAAAGGAAAAAAGAAGAAAAAGAGAAAGAUCAAAAUAGGAACAAAUAAAGGGAAACAACAUUAAGGGCCACAUUUUAAGAUUUCCGUGUUAAUGAUCUAGUAUAAUCACCGAGAUAGUACAACACUGAUAAUUAUUUUUUAAUGGCUCAAAAAUGGAAAUGGAAAGUAGUCAUAGAGAAGGGAUACUUUGGGAAAUAUCUUCCUGAUGUCUUCUUAGCUAAGAGUAGGGAAAAAAAAGGCUGAAAAAUAGGGAGGAAAUUCUUUCAUCAGAACGACUUCAAGAGGAUAAUAAUAUUUAUAAGAAAUAAAUGGAAGGAAAUAUGAUUCUCCUGAUGCUAAACACAUAUUGUAUGUUAAGAUUUGAACUAAGUAGAAUGUAUCUGCAGAGGAAGUGUGAUAAAGAUACGUCAUUAGAUCCAAGUGCUGAUUAAAUUUUUAUAGUCUAUCAAAAAGCUAUAAAACACAUUUUAGUGUGUUCCACAUUUUAAAAGCAAAAAAUAUAUAUUUUAUACACCUUUCAAUUGCCAAAUUUGAGACAUUUGCACUGAAAACAGACCUUAACUGUCAUAUAUUUCAUGGCUUUAAGCAGGUACUUCUCUGUGCAUUAUAGAAUAUAUUUUAAUAAUCUUAUAACAUUGUACAUUACUAUUGCUGUUGUCACCAUCAUUGUUACAGUGGAUAAUGGCCCUUGGUGUGUUGUAUAGCUCCCUAUGUAUUCUCUCUUUCUACCUUUAAGUUCCCAGGCCAAUACACAUUAAGAGUUUUGCGUGGUCUAAGUUGUGUUUAUUCCAACCACUUGGAAAGCUUCUGGAAAGAAUUUGUACAUUUGGCUGUUCUGUGCUCCUAAUGACACUUGACUUUGAUGAACAAAUGGUAGAGUUUCCCAAGGAUUUGAUCGUGAAUUAUCCGCAUGUGUGAUUUUUUUGGUGUGUAUGUAUUUCAUUAAAAAAUAUAAAUAUUUAUGAAAAUUGCAUCCUUAUUAGAGUUAACCGUGUGCCAGCAAUACAGCAACCCUACAUUGCAAAUAAAAGUCUGAUCCCAAAAGGA